rnacentral:rRNA from 1 species
GACCCGUCUUGAAACACGGACCAAGGAGUCUAACAUGCUUGCGAGUGAAUGGGUGUCGAAACCCAGACGCGCAAUGAAAGUGAAGUCGGCUUGCCGAUCGACACACGACCCGUCCUCUGAGCGGUGCAGUGUGGUGUCGUCAUGAUUGCUUGCAAUGUGGCGAACACAGAGCAGUCAUGUUGGGACCCGAAAGAUGGUGAACUAUGCCUGAGCAGGACGAAGGCAGAGGAAACUCUGGUGGAGGUCCGAAGCGGUUCUGACGUGCAAAUCGAUCGUCAGACUUGGGUAUAGGGGCGAAAGACUAAUCGAACCAUCUAGUAGCUGGUUCCUUCCGA